rnacentral:rRNA from 1 species
UACGAAGGUGGCAAGCGUUGUUCGGAUUUACUGGGCGUACAGGGAGCGUAGGCGGUUGGAUAAGCCCUCCGUGAAAUCUCCAGGCUUAACCUGGAAAGUGCAGAGGGGACUGUUCAGCUAGAGGAUGGGAGAGGAGCGCGGAAUUCCGGGUGUAGCGGUGGAAUGCGUAGAGAUCCGGAAGAACACCGGUGGCGAAGGCGGCCUGCUGGGCAGUAUAGCUGACACUGAGGCGCGACAGCGUGGGGAGCAAACAGG